UCUCCGUUGGUGAACCAGCGGAGGGAUCAUUACUGAGUUACAAACUCCAAACCUUUGUGAACCUAUACCACUGUUGCUUCGGCGUGCCGUGCCGGGCGCGGCUCCGGCCGUGACCCGGACCCAAGGCGGCCGCCGGGGACCCGAAACCUCUGUCUCUUAUAGUGGACUUCUGAGUGGCAUAAGCAAAUAAUCAAAACUUUCAGCAACGGAUCUCUUGGCUCUG
rnacentral:misc_RNA from 1 species